CUUGAGGCGUGGCUUCCGGAGCUAACGCGUUAAAUCGACCGCCUGGGGAGUACGGCCGCAAGGUUAAAACUCAAAUGAAUUGACGGGGGCCCGCACAAGCGGUGGAGCAUGUGGUUUAAUUCGAUGCAACGCGAAGAACCUUACCUGGUCUUGACAUCCACAGAACUUAGCAGAGAUGCUUUGGUGCCUUCGGGAACUGUGAGACAGGUGCUGCAUGGCUGUCGUCAGCUCGUGUUGUGAAAUGUUGGGUUAAGUCCCGCAACGAGCGCAACCCUUAUCCUUUGUUGCCAGCGGUUAGGCCGGGAACUCAAAGGAGACUGCCAGUGAUAAACUGGAGGAAGGUGGGGAUGACGUCAAGUCAUCAUGGCCCUUACGACCAGGGCUACACACGUGCUACAAUGGCAUAUACAAAGAGAAGCGACCUCGCGAGAGCAAGCGGACCUCAUAAAGUAUGUCGUAGUCCGGAUUGGAGUCUGCAACUCGACUCCAUGAAGUCGGAAUCGCUAGUAAUCGUAGAUCAGAAUGCUACGGUGAAUACGUUCCCGGGCCUUGUACACACCGCCCGUCACACCAUGGGAGUGGGUUGCAAAAGAAGUAGGUAGCUUAACCUUCGGGAGGGCGCUUACCACUUUGUGAUUCAUGACUGGGGUGAAGUC
rnacentral:rRNA from 1 species